GCGUAAUUGGUUUAGUGGUAAAAUUCUCCGUUGCCAUCCAAGUAACAUCGGGGAGCCCUGGGUUCGAUUCCCAGAUUACGCA
rnacentral:tRNA from 1 species